AACCCGAUUGUGUCUAGUGUUC
rnacentral:miRNA from 1 species